rnacentral:lncRNA from 1 species
GCCUGGUGCAGCCAUCCAGGUAUACCUUCGUCUUCCAUUAGUGUUUGGGAUACAGUCAGCCUCCCUGUGCACAGAGGACAUGGCAGAGGUCUCCGCUUAUUCCUAGUCUUAGCUGAAGUGAGGAGAACACAGACACAGAGGGAGGAAGGUGGCGGGAAACGCAGUUGUCUCUUGGUUCCCUGCUCAAGAGUUCCAGUUCUGACACCAUUCCUCUUGGGGCAUAGAUGGCUACUGUCCUGCUAAACUCCCCAACCAGGUUCCGGUGUCUCAGAUGCCAGAACCUUCUGUUUCUCUGCGUACAAAUACAGAGAUAUGAGUGAACCCAGCUCCAGGACCGAGCAUUUUCUCUUUGAUGUGAGGAGGCAACCACACAUACUACUGAGCAGGUGCCUUGAAGCAGCUCUCACCUGACCUGAGAGACGAAGGUCACACAGAUGGGUAAGCUGAGCUCUAAGAAGUUAUGCAGGCUUCUCAAGGUGACAAAGGGUUUGAACCCAAGCUCUGUAGAUACACAGCAGAUAUUCACCCUCCUACUCCAGGCUCCAUGGAAUUAGGUGGAAAGCUUAGGCACUCUGCUGAAAUGGUUGGCCCACUGACGUUCUAAGUGAAGUGUCCUUCAUAUGCGCCUGUGUUUGAAUGGCUGGU